CUCCUCACCGCCGCCCUCGUCGUUGUAGCUCACCACGUUGUCGCGGACGUCCUCCUUGGAGAUGAUGAGCGGCUCCUUCUUCCUCUGGCGCCUCAAUGCGGUGAACAGGACCACGAUCACUGAGGAGACAACGGCACAGAGUUUGUCUAAAGACGCUCGUGAAAGCAUGGUACCGCAGGCUGCGCCAGGAGGGAGGAAGAGCAGGUGGCGCUCACGGCUCCCAGGACAAUGAUCAGCAUCAUGUCCCUAUGCUCCUAAGCCACGUGUUGCCACACAGAUCAAUAGGCGAAGGAAUUUUCCACGAAUGUAGAAUAUGCACAAAAGCCCACUGGACCGUGACCGCUGCCUGAACAAGAGGAUGAGUGGGGACGCGGUGGAGGUCUGGUUCUGACGAGCAGCAGCCGACUGCCGCUCCGACCCACGUUGUCUCAUUACCGCCAAUGAGCCGCACGUGUCGAAGCCGCCGCUGCACGGGGCCGGCGAGAGCAAACAUGCUGCACGCUGCGUGAACACGAUUCAUUUGACAUCAUAGUUUUUUCUGCCAUUUGAUUUUGAAGUUUUGUUUGUUUUCUCUUUUUACAAUGUUUGUUAUUUUACAUUGUUCCUUCAUAUUUCGGUCGAGGCGGACAUCUAGGCUCCAUACAACAUAGUUUUGUUACUGGCUGUAUAAUGUUUUCUACGAUUUAACUACAUGAAAGCAGUUCGGGUCAGAUACUUUGCAUCUGAACAUCUGAUAUUCUCAAUGACAAGAUUAAAGAAUGUGAAAUGUAAUGACUUUAGUGUUUGUAAAAGGAAAUGGUUGAGAAGAGCUGUAGGACGACUGGAGGACGGGAGGGAGUGAACACGCAGCAGAGUGCCUUUUAUUAUUUUUCAUUCAUGUUAAUCUUUUGAUUUGAUUCUAUUUGUAUUUUUAUUUUUU